UACGUAGGUCCCGAGCGUUAUCCGGAUUUAUUGGGCGUAAAGCGAGCGCAGGCGGUUGGAUAAGUCUGAAGUUAAAGGCUGUGGCUCAACCAUAGUAUGCUUUGGAAACUGUUCAACUUGAGUGCAGAAGGGGAGAGUGGAAUUCUAUGUGUAGCAGUGGAAUGCGUAGAUAUAUGGAGGAACACCGGUGGCGAAGGCGGCCUACUGGACGGUGACUGACGCUGAGGCUCGAAAGCGUGGGGAGCAAACAGG
rnacentral:rRNA from 1 species